AUCAUGAAAAAGAGUGGAAAGAAAAGAAUAAUAAUGAGAAUCUGACUUAGUAAAAGCAAAGUUCUUUCUCUGUUAGUAUCACAAAAACAGAGAAGUCCCCAGGCCUUUCAUGUGUAUUCUGGAAGGAACGCCCGCUUCCAAAAAUGUUUCUUUCAGGUGCUUCUUCAGGGACUGCCUGAUCCCUUCACAAUGCUCCUGCUCCUGAUCAAGGAAAAGACAUAUGAUUUUGCAGUCUCCUUUAGCUCUCCUUCAUGGAAAUGAUUCUCUUGAUACUGAAACUAAAACAUAUUCUAGGCAUGGCUGAAAACAAACCAUGAAGUUGAAUGAAGGAAAUUGCAUCCAUUCUCCAUGAUGGCUGAAGAAGGUGUGGAGGAGGGAAGCCACAUGUGGAUGGAAGCUUUUUGAAGCAUAAACAUUUGGAUACACUCUAAGAUUUGGAACAAUCUUCACCAUGACCAGGAAAUCAUUUAUAUUGCAGUAUCCCCUACUGUGCCUAAAAAUGUGAUGUGUUCACUUUGUCUUACAAUUGAUUUCUAAUGACUUCAAACUUAUAUAUCUUCUUUGUGUCUUAAAGUAAAUUUCAAAUAAUGGAAUGUCAAGCAUCAGAAUAGAGGGGUAGAGAUGUACAAGUAUUGCAGUUAUGUCCUUGAUACUGAUUUAAGUAAGCACUACCUACCUCUAUUCUAACAUUGUUGUAGAUUAUGAACCCUGGUAAAUUUUAUAGCUGCCACCUUUGUCUGCCUGAUCCUAUACGCUUAAAUCUGUCCAGUCCACCUAUGUAUGAAGUGGGAGGAAGAAAAC
rnacentral:lncRNA from 10 species